rnacentral:rRNA from 1 species
CAGUAGCCGCGGUAAUACGUAGGUGGCAAGCGUUGUCCGGAAUUAUUGGGCGUAAAGGGCUCGCAGGCGGUUUCUCAAGUCUGAUGUGAAAGCCCCCGGCUCAACCGGGGAGGGUCAUUGGAAACUGGGAAACUUGAGUGCAGAAGAGGAGAGUGGAAUUCCACGUGUAGCGGUGAAAUGCGUAGAGAUGUGGAGGAACACCAGUGGUGAAGGCGACUCUCUGGUCUGUAACUGACGCUGGGGAGCGAAAGCGUGGGGAGCGAACGGGAUUAGAUACCCCCGUAGUCCCUGUCUCUUAUAC